ensembl:lncRNA
AUGGGAAGGACUCUUCUUGUCCACAUGUCACUGGUGCCUGGGGUUCUGGCAGUCUCCCAGGAGAGAAAUCAAGAGAUAUCACCAAACAUAGCAGCAAAGGAUCAUAUCCUCAACCCCCAAAGAGGAGCAGGCCACCUUUGCCAUGACUCUCAGCCUCGUCACCAACCUGAGGCUUACCCGGUCAUCCGGAUCUUUCCUUCACCUUGCUCCUGGAGUGUAGAGAUUCUAUAUUCUCUUUCAUCUGACUCCCGACAUCACUUCUCCAUAUUGACUGGGGGGCUGUUUUUCGGCUUGGAUUUUUCUUUCUUAAGACCCCGUGGGACCAGAGAAAGAAGAAAAUAGUCAUGCAGGGGAGCUUGCUUCCUGACUUCCCGAGCUGAUGUUGUUGGUAUGAGUUUCUUGUUCCUGCUGUAGUACAUUACUGACAAACGUGGUGGUUUCAAACAAUACAAGUUUACUGUCUUGUAGUUUGGGGGCUAGAGGUCCUAAAAUCAAGGGGUCAGCAGGGCUGCGUUCCUUCUGGAGGCUCUAAGGGAGAACACUUUCCCUGCCUUUUCUGGCUACUGGAAACUGCCAGCACUCCUUGGCUUGUAGCCCCUUCCUCCACCCUCCUCCACCCUCACAGACAGCAGUGCAACAUCUUCAAACCUUUGUCCCUGAGCUCUGCUUCCUUUGUUACAUCUCCUACUCAGACUCUGACUUUCCUGCCUCCUUCUUUCCCUUAAAAGGGCUCUUUUGAUUAAAUGGAUUUGUCAGGAUGAUUUCCCAUCUCAAGAGCCUUAACUGAAUCACAUCUUCAAAGUUCCUUUUGCCAUAAAAGGUCACAGAUUCACAGGUUUCAGGGUUUAGAACAUGGACUUCUUUGGGAGGCUGCUAUUCUGUCUGCUGCACUAUCCUUAAGCCUCACCUCCUAGGAACUCUCUAUUUAGACCACUCAAAAUCCACAUCAAAAAGGCUGAAUCUCUUCCCCACUCAGGCCCCAUUUUCUCCCUAAGGAAUUCUUCUUGCCCUGGUGAAUGACAGCCCCCCACUUCCUGCCCUCGGACAUUCUCCUUCCCAUGGGGGUGAAGGCCUUUGCCUGCCUUAUGAGAUAACUAUAGAAAGACAAAUGGUGAGGCCAACAUCUGGUCAGCACAAACACACUCCUGGCAAAUGCUGUAUCUUUCCUAUCAUCAGCUAAGACCUCAGCAACAGGGGAACAAGAAAGGAUUAGUUAUUCUGUAUUUACUUGUGUCAGCUCUCUCAUUGGCAGAGACCAUUUCUGGGGUUCAAUCCAGGAAGAGGGGUUGGAGGACAAUGCUAAUAUGACCAUACAAUUCUUCUUCACAUCACUGCAACUUUGUUUUCCCUGCACAACUUUAACUCUUCUUUCUACCUAAUUCAGUGAUCACAGAACCAGAGCUGCAACUGGAUGCAAGGGCAGGGAUAAUCCCUAAGCAGGAAACUGUAAGUAUACUUUUGAACUUUUAUGUCAGAAUUCCCAAACGCCUGAUGGGGUAGACUGUGCCUUCAGCCCAUCUGGCAAAAUUGGUCUUGAUAAUGAAUGUAGAUAUAUUAUUGUCUAGUGGUCAAGACAGCCCACUAGUUCUGUAUGUGUGUAAACUCACCCUAUUAAACGGAAGUGAAUUGAGAGAGAAGCACCUGCUAGACCAGUAUUGCUAUCAGCAGUGUGUAUCUGAACAGUGCCAAAACUAACAGCCCUUCUAAAGGUAGAAAAGUUUGGAAAAAAAACAAUGGUAGGCUGGGUGCAGUGGCUCAUGCCUGUAAUCCCGGCACUUUGAGAGGCUGAAGUGGCAGGAUCCCUUGAAUCCAGGAGUUUGAGACUAGCCUGGGCAAGUCUCAGAGAGACUCCAUCUUAUUUUAAAAACAAAACCAAACAAAACAAAACCAAACAAAAUGAAAAACAAUGAUAAAUGGAUAGAAGGAAGAAUAGUAGCUAAGGGUAAAUGAAUGAACAGAUGGGUUAUGAAACAAGGGAAUUCCAAUGUUACAAUGGUGCCUUUAUAAAAAUGAUAUUGUCUUUUAGCUUCAUGCAAAUGCCUGAAAGGAUGAAGCCAUGUAUUGCAAAGACCACUCCUGUUUUUGGGAACCUGACAAUGUUGAAUGGAAACCUGCAAACCUGAGUGGGUGGCAUUGCUCUGGGAGACAUUUUGGUCAUAUAAUGUGAUCAUGACCUGGACCAAAUUGAUAAUGAUUGAGUGAGAUUUUAGUAAUAUGUAUCUUUUGACUUACUUUUCAGGUUACAUCUGCAACCAUACUUCAAUAUGGUGUAGCACUGGCAUCAUGGAUAAGAUUCAAUCCCCUUAUGUGAAUAAGUCUAAUGACGGUACUGCUGUUGAUGACCAAAUAUAUCAGGAAAUGAAGUGAAAGCCUCCUCAGGAUAUAAUGCUGAUGGAAAAUGACUGGCCUUAGGAAACACUAGAUUUUGUUAAUUAUCAUGUAAUUGCUUUACUAAAUAGUUCUGGCCAGGUACGGUGGCUCACACCUGUAAUCUCAGCAUUUUGGGAGGCUGAUAUGGGAGGACUGCUUGAAUCCAGGAGUUUGAGAGACCAGUCUGGGCAAUAUAGUGAGAUCCUGUCUCUACAAAAACUGAAAAACUGAAAAAUAAAAUUAGCCAAGUGUGGUGGUGUGCACCUGUAGCCCCAGCUACGUAGGAGACUGAGGGGAGAGGAUCACUUGAGCUUGAGCUCAGGAGAUCAAGGCUACAGUGAGCUGUGAUCACACCACUGCACUCCAGCCUGGGCAACAGAGAUCCUGUCUCUAAAACCAAAACAAAACAAUAGUUCUGCACAAGUGUAUUAUGAGAUAUAGAUGGUAGUAGAACAAGUCAUCAUAUCAG